GAGUGGCAAGAUGUACAGGGAGAAGAAAGUGGGGCCAAGGAUUGAGCCUUGUGGAACACCACAAGCAACAGAAGCACUCGAAGAGGACAGGUCAUCAAACAUUACAGAAAAACAUUGAUCAGAAAGAUAUGAUGUGAACCACUUCAGAACAGAGGCCUUGUCUUAGCCGCC